CCUACGGGAGGCAGCAGUCGGGAAUAUUGGACAAUGGGCGGAAGCCUGAUCCAGCAAUACCGCGUGUGUGAAGAAGGCCUGCGGGUUGUAAAGCACUUUCAGUUGGGAAGAUAAUGACGUUACCAACAGAAGAAGCACCGGCUAACUCCGUGCCAGCAGCCGCGGUAAUAA
rnacentral:rRNA from 1 species